CACAGUCAGAGAGGCUCACAAUAUCCUUGACAAUGCUUUCCAGAAACAUCCCUGGUGCCCAACUUCCUGGCUCCUUCAGUCUCAGCUCUGUGACUCCUCUCGAUGGGCGCAGGCUGGAGCCACAGCCCCUGGCCCUCAGCCAUUCUCUUUCCAGGUCAUGUGUCCGUGUCUGGCUUUGGAAUGCGGAAGAGCUGGCUCCUGCUCUGGGGGCUUUCAGCCGGAGCAGGCAGCCGGAAUCACACUUUCAUAUCCUGUGGCUUAUGUUUAUUGUAUUCCUGAUUUAUUGAUUUUAGAUAUUCUCUAUUGAUUCCUACUGUGGAAGAUGGAGAUACGGCCCUGUUACAUCACCUGGGCCCCCGCUUCUCUUCCCUCCAUCCUCUCAGAACAGGACCUGCUGCUGCCAAGCCAGACUUGAUCUCCAAACUGGAGCGGAGGGCUGCACCCUGGAUCAAGGACCCAAAUGGGCCAAAGUGGGGGAAAGGUCGUCCUCCAGGGAACAAGAAGAUGGCGGCAGUGAGAGAGGCAGACACACAGGCCUCGGCUGCAGACUCCGCGUUGCUU
rnacentral:sRNA from 1 species